UAAUACGGAGGGUGCAAGCGUUAAUCGGAAUUACUGGGCGUAAAGCGCACGCAGGCGGUUUGUUAAGUCAGAUGUGAAAUCCCCGGGCUCAACCUGGGAACUGCAUUUGAAACUGGCAAGCUAGAGUCUCGUAGAGGGGGGUAGAAUUCCAGGUGUAGCGGUGAAAUGCGUAGAGAUCUGGAGGAAUACCGGUGGCGAAGGCGGCCCCCUGGACGAAGACUGACGCUCAGGUGCGAAAGCGUGGGGAGCAAAACAGGAUUAGAUACCCUGGUAGUCCACGCUGUAAACGAUGUCGAUUUGGAGGUUGUGCCCUUGAGGCGUGGCUUCCGGAGCUAACGCGUUAAAUCGACCGCCUGGGGAGUACGGCCGACAAGGUUA
rnacentral:rRNA from 1 species